GUGGGGAAUAUUGGACAAUGGGGGGAACCCUGAUCCAGCCAUGCCGCGUGUGUGAAGAAGGCCUUUUGGUUGUAAAGCACUUUAAGUGGGGAGGAGGCUUACCUGGUUAAUACCUGGGCUAAGUGGACGUUACCCACAGAAUAAGCACCGACUAACUCUGUGCCAGCAGCCGCGGUAAUACAGAGGGUGCAAGCGUUAAUCGGAUUUACUGGGCGUAAAGCGCGCGUAGGUGGUUAAUUAAGUCAAAUGUGAAAUCCCCGAGCUUAACUUGGGAAUUGCAGUCGAUACUGGUUGGCUAGAGUAUGGGAGAGGAUGGUAGAAUUCCAGGUGUAGCGGUGAAAUGCGUAGAGAUCUGGAGGAAUACCGAUGGCGAAGGCAGCCAUCUGGCCUAAUACUGACACUGAGGUGCGAAAGCAUGGGGAGCAAACAGGAUUAGAAACCCGGGUAGUCC
rnacentral:rRNA from 1 species